UAGGGAAUAUUGCUUAAUGGGCGAAAGCCUGAAGCAGCAACGCCGCGUGUACGAUGAAGGCCUUCGGGUUGUAAAGUACUUUUGCAGGGGAUGAGGAAGGACAGUACCCUGAGAAUAAGUCUCGGCUAACUACGUGCCAGCAGCCGCGGUAAAACGUAGGAGACGAGCGUUAUCCGGAUUUACUGGGCGUAAAGCGCGUGCAGGCGGCACGGAAAGUUGGAUGUGAAAGCUCCCGGCUUAACUGGGAGAGGUCGUUCAAAACUACCGAGCUAGAGUAUGGGAGAGGGAAGCGGAAUUCCGGGUGUAGUGGUGAAAUGCGUAGAUAUCCGGAGGAACACCAGUGGCGAAAGCGGCUUCCUGGCCCGAGACUGACGCUCAGACGCGAAAGCUAGGGUAGCAA
rnacentral:rRNA from 1 species